rnacentral:rRNA from 1 species
ACAGCAGUCGCCACGGGAAUACGAAGGGGGCUAGCGUUGUUCGGAAUUACUGGGCGUAAAGCGCACGUAGGCGGAUAUUUAAGUCAGGGGUGAAAUCCCGCAGCUCAACUGCGGAACUGCCUUUGAUACUGGGUAUCUUGAGUAUGGAAGAGGUUAGUGGAAUUGCGAGUGUAGAGGUGAAAUUCGUAGAUAUUCGCAGGAACACCAGUGGCGAAGGCGGCUAACUGGUCCAUAACUGACGCUGAGGUGCGAAAGCGUGGGGAGCAAACAGGAUUAGAUACCCCUGUAGUCCCUGUCUCUUAUAC